rnacentral:rRNA from 1 species
CCUACGGGAGGCAGCAGUGAGGAAUAUUGGUCAAUGGGCGCGAGCCUGAACCAGCCAAGUAGCGUGAAGGAUGACUGCCCUACGGGUUGUAAACUUCUUUUAUAAAGGGAUAAAGUGAGGCAUGUGUGCCUUUUUGUAUGUACUUUAUGAAUAAGGAGCGGCUAAACCCGUGCCAGCAGCCGCGGUAAUACGGAGGAUACGAGCGUUAUCCGGAUUUAUUGGGUUUAAAGGGAGCGUAGAUGGGUUGGUAAGUCAGGUGUGAAAGUUCGUGGCUCAACCGUAAAAGUGCAAUUAGUACUGGCAUGCUUGAGUACGGUUGAGGUAGGCGGAAUUCGUGGUGUAGCGGUGAAAUGCUUAGAUAUCACGAAGAACUCCGAUUGCGAAGGCAGCUAACUGAACUGCCACUGACAUUGAUGCUCGAAAGUGUGGGUAUCAAACAGGAUUAGAUACCCUGGUAGUC